AACUUUUUCUGAAUUUUUAAAAUUAAAAAAAUCCUGAAAGGAUAGGGAACACGUUAUUCCCUCUUCGGUCUCUCCGUUCUUUCACGCGACUUCCCUCUUCAACAACGCCACUCCCUUUAUCACGCCGGAGGCACGACGAAGGUGACGACCGGAGGACGGCGCUUCCUACUUCGUUUUUCGGCACGGUCCGAGUUCUCUCUUCACUCUUCAGUCUUCUCUCUCCCUUUUCCGGCACUGUCCGAGGCGGUCUCACUUCUCUCUCCCUUUUCCGACGAGGUCACCAUUGUUUGCUGAUAAAAAAUGAGUUUCUACUUAUCAAUAUUGGUCUUACAUCCCUCAUUUUUUGUCAUCCUACUGAUUGUCUUAUGUAGGUGUUCAUUCAAUUAUUUCUUUGAUUCUUGCUUUCAUUUUGGACCGUGCUGCUCAUCAUCACAGAUGGAUCGAAGUUGGAUGAAUGAAAGUCGCAUCAGCCCAGAAUAUGAGGAAGGCGUCGAGCAAUUCUUACAAUUUGCUUCACAAAGAGGUCAACCGGAUGAAGAUGGAAAAUAUUAUUGUCCUUGCAUCAAUUGUUUGAACGGAAGACGACAAAUACUGGAUGACAUACGAGAGCAUCUGUUGUGUGAUGGAAUU